rnacentral:misc_RNA from 1 species
GAUUUAAAUACCUGCCCUGAUACAAUCAGAUGGACAUGAUAUGGAUGGAAAAUUUUCAAUCUGAAGAUUGUACAGAAGAAAUUUGAUCUCACAAUCUGGGAUUAUCCCUGGACCUUGGAAACAAAUAUGGAAAUCUAAUAUCCCUACCAAGAUUAAGGAUUUCACAUGGAAGGUAUGUAAAAGAGCAUGUCUCACUCAGGAGAAACUGAAAAAGAGAGGUUUUGAG